UUCGCCCUUUUCCGGUUGAUCCCGCCGGACCCGACUGCUAUCAGAGUGGGACUAAGCCAUGCGAGUCAACGUAGUAAUACGUGGCAUACGGCUCAGUAACACAUAGUCAACAUGCCCAGAGGACGUGGAUAACCUCGGGAAACUGAGGAUAAACCGCGAUAGGUCAUAAUUCCUGGAAUGGUUUAUGGCUGAAACCUAUAUGGCCCCUGGAUUGGACUGCGGCCGAUCAGGCUGUUGGUGAGGUAAUGGCCCACCAAACCUGUAACCGGUACGGGCUCUGAGAGGAGAAGCCCGGAGAUGGGCACUGAGACAAGGGCCCAGGCCCUAUGGGGCGCAGCAGGCGCGAAACCUCUGCAAUAGGCGAAAGCCUGACAGGGUUACUCUGAGUGGUUCCCGCUAAGGGGAUCUUUUGGCACCUCUAAAAAUGGUGCAGAAUAAGGGGUGGGCAAGCCUGGUGUCAGCCGCCGCGGUAAUACCAGCACCCCGAGUGGUCGGGACGAUUAUUGGGCCUAAAGCAUCCGUAGCCGGUCAUGCAAGUCUUCCGUUAAAUCCACCCGCUCAACGGUUGGGCUGCGGAGGAUACUACGUGGCUAGGAGGCGGGAGAGGCAAGCGGUACUC
rnacentral:rRNA from 1 species